rnacentral:rRNA from 1 species
GGACGAACGCUGGCGGCGUGCUUAACACAUGCAAGUCGAGCGAUGAAGCUCUUCGGAAGUGGAUUAGCGGCGGACGGGUGAGUAACACGUGGGUAACCUGCCUCGUAGAGGGGAAUAGCCUUCCGAAAGGAAGAUUAAUACCGCAUAAGAUUGUAAUAUCGCAUGAUAUAGCAAUUAAAGGAGUAAUCCGCUAUGAGAUGGACCCGCGUCGCAUUAGCUAGUUGGUGAGGUAACGGCUCACCAAGGCGACGAUGCGUAGCCGACCUGAGAGGGUGAUCGGCCACAUUGGGACUGAGACACGGCCCAGACUCCUACGGGAGGCAGCAGUGGGGAAUAUUGCACAAUGGGGGAAACCCUGAUGCAGCGACGCCGCGUGAAGUGAAGAAGUAUUUCGGUAUGUAAAGCUCUAUCAGCAGGGAAGAAAGAGUCGUAAGACUCAUGACGGUACCUGACUAAGAAGCCCCGGCUAACUACGUGCCAGCCGCUGC